AUUGAACGCUGGCGGCAGGCCUAACACAUGCAAGUCGAGCGAGCGGCGGACGGGUGAGUAAUGUCUGGGAAACUGCCUGAUGGAGGGGGGUAACUACUGGAAACGGUAGCUAAUACCGCAUACCAUCAGAUGUGCCCAGAUGGGAUUAGCUGGUAGGUGGGGUAACGGCUCACCUAGGCGACGAUCCCUAGCUGGUCUGAGAGGAUGACCAGGCAAACUGGAACUUAGACACGGGCCAGAGUCCGACGGGAGGAAGCAGUGGGGAAGAGUGCACAAUGGGCGCAAGCCUGAUGCAGCCAUGCCGCGUGUAUGAAGAGGGCCUUCGGGUUUUAAAGUACUUUCAGCGGGGCGGCGUUACCUGCAGAAGAAGCACCGGCUAACUCCGUGCCAGCAGCCGCGGUAAUUC
rnacentral:rRNA from 1 species